rnacentral:lncRNA from 1 species
UUCGCUCCUAUAUGACUUUUAUUUUAUUUUUUUUAGGAAUUGAGUUUCUUUUUUAAAUCCAACCUAAAUCUUUUUAUUAUAAAAAUUUCAAAUAUAUAAUUUUUUAUACGUGAAUUUUAAAAUCUAACNUUUUUCCAACUCAUUCCUCUCAUUCGCUCCUAUAUGACUUUUAUUUUAUUUUUUUUAGGAAUUGAGUUUCUUUUUUAAAUCCAACCUAAAUCUUUUUAUUAUAAAAAUUUCAAAUAUAUAAUUUUUUAUACGUGAAUUUUAAAAUCUAACUUAUAGAAUGAUUGAAUUGUAAAAAAUAAAAUUUUAAAACAUUAAAUUUUAUAUAGUUUUAUUUUGAUUUUAAUAUCAAACUUUAAUAUUAUAUUACAAUUUGCUAAGCGAUCAAUUUUACAUUUACAAUUUUUGGAAUAUCCAAAAUAUAAUUAGUCGCCUCUUAAUUUUAACAAUUAUGCAUUAUAAAAUUUGUUAGAUAGUUUAAUAUUUUUUUUUUUUCAAAUAAAAUGACUAAUUUAACAAAACCAAUCGAUACUCAACUAUAUCUUCAUUUAGAAUAAUUACAUUUUUGGUCUUCAAAUUAGUAGGAUCUGUGACAAUUGUUCCAAAUAUUUUUUUAAACAAAUAUUGUGUGGUACCGCGGACGGACGCGGCGCGGGAUGUUAAUAUAUAUCAUGUUUUAGUAACUUUUUAGUAAAAAAAGUUAUUUAUAAAAUAAUUUUCAAAACUAUGAAAUUUGAUUAAUUUUUAAUUAAAUAAAGUUGUUAGAAUAAUGUUUAAUGUAUAUAAUAAUACUAUUUGAUAAUAUUUUUAUUUAGUUAUAAUUUUUUAAUCUUAAAAAUUUAAUAAUAAUAUAUUUUAAUUGAUUGAAAUACCAUCUGCGCGCUGC